rnacentral:lncRNA from 1 species
GUUGUGAUUCUGCUUUAGUUGGGUCUGGGGGGGUCUCUCUGGAGAGUGGCUAUAAAUGCUAGCCUUUGUGCUGGGCAGCAAAGCAAAUCAUCGGGAAUAACCCGGGAGCCUGGCAGGGAAACCGCUGCACUAUGGAGAGGACGCUUCCAGAUACAGAGGACAAAUCAAGUGAAGGGACGGAACAGGUCACACCCAGAGCGGCACAGAGGUGUGUGAGCUGUUCCCACGGUAGUCAGAGCCUCUGUUCCAACUGUCCUCCCGCUGGGCUCUCUCCGGUCCCCAGUGCAUGGGCUGGAGUGUGGCCCCUGGCAGAGCCCUGGAGGCCGGCUCUGCUUCCUGCCCCCUUCCAGCCUGGAGCAGCCCGAGGGCGCAGCAUUCCUGGGGCAGGCCUGAGCCCUGUGGUGGGCUGAGUUGAGUCCCCAGAAAGGAUCUAUGAAAGAUAAAAUGUGGUGUGAGGACACGGCCCAGCCCCACCGUCGUCUUCCAGCCCCACCAUCGUCUUCCAGCCCCACCGUCGUCUUCCAGUCCCACCGUCGUCUUCUAGCCCCACCAUCGUCGUCUUGGACUCUCUGGGUGGCACCACGCUGUGGGUGCUGCUCUCCUCUGUGUCCCAAACGAGUUUGUGCCUCACUUUGUCGGGUUUUGGCUGUGACUUGGAGCCUCACCAAGCUCCCUUUUCCUCUGUCUCCCAUUCUCCUCUCCAGGCCAGGGUGGCUUCCCCAGCCCUCCUCCCCGGGUCCUGCCUGUGCCGAGCCUUCCUCCCAGGAGGGAGGUGAUACUGACUUGAGAUCUUAUGGGUGUUUUGUUUGUGGCUGGGCCUGGCCGACCCUCUCUCCACGGCCUUAGAUCACACUCUGGAUGGAUAGGACAGUCGUCCUCAAUACUGAGCCUCUUUGGAGCAUACCCACUGAUGGUGGUUCACAAGCUACCCACGCCCACAGGCUGACCCAGAUCUCCGUGAAAUUAAAAAAUACUGUGAAAGGAAAAAGAGCCAAUGUCAUGUGGAUAAUGAAGUGUCAGCCACUGAAAAAUCUCAAAAUAAUAAA